GCUCCUCCCCCAGCUUGCCGGGACUCGGGCCCCUCUCUGGUAGGGAGAGGGGAAGACCAUGCUUCAGAGGGCAAAGCAGGCGAGGGUGGCAGGAUUGAUUAAAACAGGCCCUGCUCGGCCCAGACCCCACAGCCCCCCAGCCCCUCGGAGGCCCGAGCACAGCCAGGGAAUCUGCCUCUGACACACAGCAGGACCAGGGGCAGCCCUGCCCCUCUGGGCCUCAGUUUCCCCAUCUGUAGAGUGGGGUUGAGGCCAGGAGAGUUGGAGAAGCUGACUUCCAAGGUCUUUCUGGUUCUCUCUCCAGUGACUGAGGCUUCCCUGAGCCUCCAGCCGUUAGUGAGCAGAGGCGAAGGGGACCUGCAAAAUGGGACAAUGCCUCUCGAGCUGAGAGGUGGGAGGACCCAGCAAUGACAAGGAUGGAUGCCCUAGGGAGAUGGGAGGCCUUGGAGUGGUGGCGUCAGGCUUACAUGGAAGCACCCUCAAAUGCCACUAAUUCUCCCUCCUGCCCAACAUAAUACACACUGCGGCCAUUUGUAAACACCUGGUCUGUGCCUAGCAUCACGGCAGGGGCUAUCACAGGAGGCCAGGCCUCCAGCUCCCCAGGCAGUGGGGGUCCCACGGAAACAGCUUGAUGGGACCAACCACGAGGGUAGGCAGAGCAGUGCCUGAAGAGGAGCCCAGGUGCCAAAUCCUGGCAUCAGGAUCUUCAUGCUGAUCAUUUACAAGACCUCGACUCUGCCACGGGCCAUCCCAAGCCCUUAACCUUACCUGCUUCUCUCAACAUCCCAGAGAAGGGAGGACUGGCCUGGUCCCUAUUUUAAAGAUGAAAAAACAAAGACACUGGUCACCCAGGGAUUAAAUGGUAGAGCUGGGCCUGGUCUGGCUCCGGAGUCACGCACAGUACCUGUUUCUUCAGUAGUAAUGAUGCCACUUCCUACUCACAGGAUAUGUGAGCGGCUAUGCCAGCAGGAGCCGUGUGUGCCCUGUGCGUAGGGCCUCGGAAGUUAUCAGUAAGGGCUGGUUGUGUGCUUGUUACCACAGCAGGGGCUCAGCUGCAGGUCAAGGGCCAGGCUUCCAUAAUCCCAGGCCGGUGAGUCUGGGGCUGCUGCUGUGAAUGUUUCUUAAUCAAGGUGCCUUCCAGUAGUGCCCCUUUGCAAGCUCCUUCCAGGGAUCAGCCAUCCUGCCUCCAGCAGCCAGGCCCUUGCGGGGAGCCAGGUCCCCAGGCAGAGGUGUGGGGCUGUGGCCUUUGCAACGCGUGCUGCAACCCUUCCAUGGGACCAGGGCCUGGAGAGCUCCGAGUGAGCAGCAAGGGCAGAACCAGGAGCCACAGUCAGGCCUGUGCCUGUAACACAUGGUCCUCCCCAGCCCCUCCUGCAGCAGAGUCAUCUCUCCUUGGUGCUCUUGGAUCAGAGGGUGCCCAGGUUACCUGUCCCUCACCCACAGCAGGUGUGUAGUCCAGGAGCUGGAGCUGGCUUACCUGUGUCCCCAGCCUGCAGCACAGGGCAGGGCAUGGAGCCCAAGUUCAGGGGAGCUUUGGGGAAGGAAUGGCAGGUUGUAUAGCAGGCACAACCCACCUAGCUCUGGCUGGGCCUGGUCAGCCAGGCAGGGUGCUGGAGACUUUACACACUUGACCUCUCCCGAGUGUCAGGACAAGCUGUGUUCACCCUCAUUUUACAGCCAAGGAAAGGGAAUUGGGGGUGCUGUGAUGUGUUCAGGGUGACUCAGCUUGGAAGGGGCAGUGCAGGGUUAAAACCCUGUCUGUGUGGCUCUGACAGGCCGUGCUCCUGCCUGCUACCCAGGACAGCCUCCCACAGAGUUCCUGCAUUUCAUGUGUGUUCUGGAGAGAGAGAGAGGGUGGA
rnacentral:lncRNA from 1 species